rnacentral:rRNA from 1 species
CAAUAGCGUAUAUUUAAGUUGCUGCAGUUAAAAAGCUCGUAGUUGGAUUUCGGGUGGGAAUGGCCGGUCCGCCGUUUCGGUGUGCACUUGCUACGCCCACCUUGCUGCCGGGGACGUGCUCUUGAGUUCACGCUCGGGACACGGAGUCGGCGAGGUUACUUUGAGUAAAUUAGAGUGUUCAAAGCAGGCCUACGCUCUGAAUACAUUAGUAUGGAAUAACACGAUAGGACUCUGGCCUAUCUUGUUGGUCUGUAGGACCGGAGUAAUGAUUAAGAGGGACAGUCGGGGGCAUUCGUAUUUCAUUGUCAGAGGUGAAAUUCUUGGAUUUAUGAAAGACGAACUACUGCGAAAGCAUUUGCCAAGGAUGUUUUCAUUAA